UGCGUGAUCCAUACUUCAAAGGUCUUGCUAGGGCUGAAAGAGAACCAUCCUGUCAGCCAAUCAGAAAAGUGGAAUUUGACUUUGAGCACAAAAGAAUGUCAAAGGAAGAGAUAAGAGAGUUGUUAUUCCGGGAGAUACUGGAAUAUCACCCACAACUGCUGAGUAGCUACAUUAAUGGCACAGAGAGGACAACCUUUCUCUACCCAAGUGCUGUUGAUCAAUUUAAGAAGCAGUUUUCUCAUCUUGAAGAGAGUGGUGGUAACGGCCCAUCAGUUCCAACAGACAGGAAACAUGCAUCUCUUCCCAG